rnacentral:rRNA from 1 species
AUGCACCAAUCCAACCAAAAGCAAUCGGAUCUAUUCUCCUUCUCAUACUGUCUGCUAAAAAAUACAAGAGCUACUAAGAGCAUGGCCAUGGCGACGUCCUCGAAGCCGGCCAAGACGACGACGCCGCACAUCCUGCUGCUCCCCUACCCGGCGCAGGGCCACGUGAACCCGUUCCUUCGUCUCGCCAAGGCCCUGCACGCGCGGGGGCUCCACGUCACCUUCGUCCACACGGAGCACAACCACGGCCGCCUCCUCCGCUCCCGCGGCCUCGGCGCUGUCACGGCCCCCGCCGACGGCUUCCGGUUCGAGACGAUCCCCGACGGGCUCCCCCGUUCCGACCACGACGCCACGCAGGACAUCUGGGCGCUGUGCGAGGCCACGCGCCGGGCGUGUCCUGGCCACCUCAGGGCGCUCGUCGAGAGGCUCGGGAGGACGGAGGGGGUCCCCCCGGUCACCUGCGUCGUCGCCGACGGCGCCAUGGGGUUCGCGGUGCACGCGGCCAAGGACAUGGGGCUGCCGGCGUACCUCUUCUUCACCCCCAGCGCCUGCGGCUUCCUGUGCUACCUCAACUUCGAUCAGCUUGUCAAGCGAGGAUACGUGCCAUUCAAAGAUGAGAGCUGCUUCACCAACGGGUACCUGGACACCCCGGUGGACUGGAUCACUGGCAUGAUCAGCAACCUCCGCCUACGUGACUUCCCGACGUUCAUCCGUACUACCAACGCUGACGAUGUGAUGCUAACCAUCAACAUCAAGCAAUGCGAGCUCGACGCCCCCGCCGCUGACGGUAUCCUCCUCAACACCUACGACGACCUCGAGCGCGCCGCGCUGGACGCAAUCCGCGAGCGCCUGCCCAACACCUUCGUCGUCGGGCCCCUCGGCCCGGAGGUCUCACCACCAUCGUACCUCCCCUCACUCACCUCGAGCUUGUGGAAGGAGGACGACCGGUGCGUCGAGUGGCUAGACGCGCAGGCGGCAGACGGUUCCGUGAUGUACGUCAACUUCGGGAGCAUCACCGUGGUGACGAGGGACCAGAUGGUGGAGUUCGCUCGAGGGCUAGCCGACGCUGGCAGCCCAUUCCUGUGGGUUGUCCGGCCUGACAUGGUGCGCGACGGCGGCAAUGAUGAUGGCAAGAUGCCGGUGCCGGAUGGGUUCGCAGAGGAGGUCGCGGGACGAGGGCUGAUGGUGGGGUGGUGCGACCAGGAGGCGGUGCUGGGCCACCGCGCGACCGGGGGUUUCCUGAGCCACUGUGGUUGGAACUCGACGUUGGAGAGCCUGUGCGCUGGCGUGCCGAUGUUGUGCUGGCCCUUCUUCUCAGAGCAGGUGACCAACUGCCGGUACGCGUGCGAGGAGUGGGGUGUGGGCGUCCAGAUGCCGCGCGAGGCCGGGCGGGGAGAGGUUGAGGCUGCCGUGAAGGAGCUGAUGGGCGACGGGGAUAAGGCAGUGGCAAUGAGGAGGAAGGCAGCGGAGUGGAAGGAGAAGGCCGUGAAGGCGGUCGUAGUGGUGGGGUCAUCACAACGGGACCUCGAAAGGUUCGUCGACGAAAUUGCGCGUGUCAAGGGCUAG